CGGUCAAUGGCGUUUCGGGGC
rnacentral:miRNA from 1 species